rnacentral:rRNA from 1 species
CCUACGGGCGGCUGCAGUGGGGAAUAUUGCACAAUGGGCGCAAGCCUGAUGCAGCCAUGCCGCGUGUGUGAAGAAGGCCUUCGGGUUGUAAAGCACUUUCAGCGGGGAGGAAGGCGGUGAGGUUAAUAACCUCAUCGAUUGACGUUACCCGCAGAAGAAGCACCGGCUAACUCCGUGCCAGCAGCCGCGAUAAUACGGAGGGUGCAAGCGUUAAUCGGAAUUACUGGGCGUAAAGCGCACGCAGGCGGUCUGUCAAGUCGGAUGUGAAAUCCCCGGGCUCAACCUGGGAACUGCAUUCGAAACUGGCAGGCUAGAGUCUUGUAGAGGGGGGUAGAAUUCCAGGUGUAGCGGUGAAAUGCGUAGAGAUCUGGAGGAAUACCGGUGGCGAAGGCGGCCCCCUGGACAAAGACUGACGCUCAGGUGCGAAAGCGUGGGGAGCAAACAGGAUUAGAUACCCUGGUAGUC